GUUACGUAUGUGGCUAGUACGUCACCUUUACUUUGAUGUAAUAUUCCCUUCCCGGCCGAAAUGUUCUAUUUUUGUCAGGUCAUUGUCGUCAUUUUAUAGGACGAUCAAUUGAUGCGGCGACACGGAUUUUUUGUUUUAUUUCUUUUUGUUUUCUUUCUUAUUGAGACAAUUUCAGGUAAGUGGGGCUUUUUUUCAAAUAUGGGUGAGCAUUUUUUCUAGUUUCCAUAAAGUGUA